GUUCGUUCUAAGUUAUUCGAAGUUUAUAGUAAAUAUGAAACAAAGUAUGGCGGAGUUCGCCUGCAACGACCUCCACUAGCACCCACAACAAGUAAGAAGACGACAACGUGGGGAAAAAUAUUUGGUGCAGGUUCUUCAUCAAGAAGUUCAGACUCUUCGUCACGAUCGUCUACGGGCACCGGAAUUCCAACAUCCGGAGGGGAGCUAACUACCUUCAUCGACAGUGACGUUAUCAGCCACGAACAAGAAAACUUCAACAUACUGCAAUGUUUCUUCUGAGGCUGCCUUCAGUCUUACAGGAAGGAUAAUCGAAGAGAGAAGAACAAAUCUGUCAAGUGAGAUGGUUGAAAUACUCACCAUAGUAAAGGAUUGGGAACAAGCUGAAGCACGAAUGCAACACACUGCAGAAAAUACUGAGCUUGAAGAAUCAUUCCAAAAUUUGUAUCUAGAUGCUGAUGAGAACGUGUAAUUUUAAAUUUUCUGAGCUAGGUUGUACUCUUUUUUCCUUUGCUAGAAAGGUUUUUAAUGAGGCAACCUAUCAAUAAAGCUCAUUUUUAGAAUUAAUCAUGUGCCCCUAUUAUUUCUAAGUUUUUUUAUUCA